rnacentral:lncRNA from 1 species
UCCUAUUUGAGAGAAUCCUUAGGAAAAGCAUUUUGUUUCCACCGAGCUAAAACAAAGUCAGCAUUUAAUGCUUAUUUUGCUUCAAUCUCGACUAUACAAAACAAAGAACAAAUUGAAGAUUUAGUUACGAUUAGAAAUAAAUUUUUUUGUCUUUUUCCAUAGAUCCUUUACCCAUACUCAAAAAAUUGAAAGUAUUGAUCCAAUUAACAAAAAUUAUGUUUCGUA